rnacentral:tRNA from 1 species
GCACCCGUAGCUCAGUUGGAUAGAGUAUCAGAUUCCGAUUCUGAGGGUCGCAAGUUCGAAUCUUGUCGGGUGUACCA